rnacentral:tRNA from 220 species
GCGGGUGUAGCUCAGUGGUAGAGCACGACCUUGCCAAGGUCGGGGUCGAGGGUUCGAGCCCCUUCGCCCGCUCCA